AGAGUUUGAUCCUGGCUCAGGAUGAACGCUGGCGGCGUGCCUAAUACAUGCAAGUCGAACGAGUUCUGAUUAUUGAAAGGUGCUUGCAUCUUGAUUUAAUUUUGAACGAGUGGCGGACGGGUGAGUAACACGUGGGUAACCUGCCCUUAAGUGGGGGAUAACAUUUGGAAACAGAUGCUAAUACCGCAUAAAUCCAAGAACCGCAUGGUUCUUGGCUGAAAGAUGGCGCAAGCUAUCGCUUUUGGAUGGACCCGCGGCGUAUUAGCUAGUUGGUGAGGUAACGGCUCACCAAGGCAAUGAUACGUAGCCGAACUGAGAGGUUGAUCGGCCACAUUGGGACUGAGACACGGCCCAAACUCCUACGGGAGGCAGCAGUAGGGAAUCUUCCACAAUGGACGCAAGUCUGAUGGAGCAACGCCGCGUGAGUGAAGAAGGCUUUCGGGUCGUAAAACUCUGUUGUUGGAGAAGAAUGGUCGGCAGAGUAACUGUUGUCGGCGUGACGGUAUCCAACCAGAAAGCCACGGCUAACUACGUGCCAGCAGCCGCGGUAAUACGUAGGUGGCAAGCGUUAUCCGGAUUUAUUGGGCGUAAAGCGAGCGCAGGCGGUUUUUUAAGUCUGAUGUGAAAGCCCUCGGCUUAACCGAGGAAGUGCAUCGGAAACUGGGAAACUUGAGUGCAGAAGAGGACAGUGGAACUCCAUGUGUAGCGGUGAAAUGCGUAGAUAUAUGGAAGAACACCAGUGGCGAAGGCGGCUGUCUGGUCUGUAACUGACGCUGAGGCUCGAAAGCAUGGGUAGCGAACAGGAUUAGAUACCCUGGUAGUCCAUGCCGUAAACGAUGAAUGCUAGGUGUUGGAGGGUUUCCGCCCUUCAGUGCCGCAGCUAACGCAUUAAGCAUUCCGCCUGGGGAGUACGACCGCAAGGUUGAAACUCAAAGGAAUUGACGGGGGCCCGCACAAGCGGUGGAGCAUGUGGUUUAAUUCGAAGCAACGCGAAGAACCUUACCAGGUCUUGACAUCUUUUGAUCACCUGAGAGAUCAGGUUUCCCCUUCGGGGGCAAAAUGACAGGUGGUGCAUGGUUGUCGUCAGCUCGUGUCGUGAGAUGUUGGGUUAAGUCCCGCAACGAGCGCAACCCUUAUGACUAGUUGCCAGCAUUUAGUUGGGCACUCUAGUAAGACUGCCGGUGACAAACCGGAGGAAGGUGGGGAUGACGUCAAAUCAUCAUGCCCCUUAUGACCUGGGCUACACACGUGCUACAAUGGAUGGUACAACGAGUUGCGAGACCGCGAGGUCAAGCUAAUCUCUUAAAGCCAUUCUCAGUUCGGACUGUAGGCUGCAACUCGCCUACACGAAGUCGGAAUCGCUAGUAAUCGCGGAUCAGCACGCCGCGGUGAAUACGUUCCCGGGCCUUGUACACACCGCCCGUCACACCAUGAGAGUUUGUAACACCCGAAGCCGGUGGCGUAACCCUUUUAGGGAGCGAGCCGUCUAAGGUGGGACAAAUGAUUAGGGUGAAGUCGGAACAAGGUA
rnacentral:rRNA from 1 species